rnacentral:rRNA from 1 species
AGGAAUAUUGGUCAAUGGGCGCGAGCCUGAACCAGCCAAGUAGCGUGAAGGAUGAAGGUCCUACGGAUUGUAAACUUCUUUUAUAAGGGAAUAAAGUCACCCACGUGUGGGUGUUUGUAUAUACCUUAUGAAUAAGCAUCGGCUAACUCCGUGCCAGCAGCCGCGGUAAUACGGAGGAUGCGAGCGUUAUCCGGAUUUAUUGGGUUUAAAGGGAGCGUAGACGGGCCGUUAAGUCAGCUGUGAAAGUUUGAGGCUCAACCUUAAAAUUGCAGUUGAUACUGGCGUCCUUGAGUACGGUUGAGGCAGGCGGAAUUCGUGGUGUAGCGGUGAAAUGCUUAGAUAUCACGAAGAACCCCGAUUGCGAAGGCAGCCUGCUAAACCGCCACUGACGUUGAGGCUCGAAAGUGUGGGUAUCAAACAGGAUUAGAUACCCUGGUAGUCCACACGGUAAACGAUGGAUACUCGCUGUUGGCGAUAGACUGUCAGCGGCUUAGCGAAAGCGUUAAGUAUCCCACCUGGGGAGUACGCCGGCAACGGUGAAACUCAAAGGAAUUGACGGGGGCCCGCACAAGCGGAGGAACAUGUGGUUUAAUUCGAUGAUACGCGAGGAACCUUACCCGGGCUUGAAUUGCAGACGAAUUGCUUGGAAACAGGCAAGCCGCAAGGCGUCUGUGAAGGUGCUGCAUGGUUGUCGUCAGCUCGUGCCGUGAGGUGUCGGCUUAAGUGCCAUAACGAGCGCAACCCUCGUGUCCAGUUACUAGCAGGUUAUGCUGAGGACUCUGGACAGACUGCCAUCGUAAGAUGUGAGGAAGGUGGGGAUGACGUCAAAUCAGCACGGCCCUUACGUCCGGGGCUACACACGUGUUACAAUGGGGGGUACAGCAGGCAGCUACCGGGCGACCGGAUGCCAAUCCCGAAAGCCUCUCUCAGUUCGGACUGGAGUCUGCAACCCGACUCCACGAAGCUGGAUUCGCUAGUAAUCGCGCAUCAGCCACGGCGCGGUGAAUACGUUCCCG